rnacentral:rRNA from 1 species
UACAGAGGUCCCAAGCGUUGUUCGGAUUCACUGGGCGUAAAGGGUGCGUAGGUGGCCGGGUAAGUUCGGUGUGAAAUCUCGGAGCUCAACUCCGAAAAGUCAUCGAAUACUAUCCGGCUAGAGGGUCGGAGGGGAGACUGGAAUUCUCGGUGUAGCAGUGAAAUGCGUAGAUAUCGAGAGGAACACCAGUGGCGAAGGCGAGUCUCUGGACGACUCCUGACACUGAGGCACGAAAGCUAGGGGAGCAAACAGG